GAGGGAGGAGAGCAGAAGUGAGCCAGAGGCAGCAGCAGAGGAGAGCUGCACUUGAACCUGUCUGUGGGACCAGAUUGGUCUGGAGGUUAGCAGGUUGCUAUGAUCCAACCACAAAUUGCUCCCAUUUGUCUGGUGGAAAACCACAUUGAAUGGCUGUCAGUGAACCAGAAAGCCAUAGAGAUUCUGGACAAGAUUUCUCAGCCAGUGGUAGUCGUGGCUAUUGUUGGAUUGUAUCGUACAGGGAAGUCCUAUUUGAUGAACCGUCUGGCGGGACAGAAUCGCGCUGUGACUAAAACACCCGAAAAGAAACACUGAUGGAAAGGCACUUAUCUUGACAUGGUUUGGGAGAUUUCACUCAACAUUCUUGGUUCAUUCAUCUUGGGACCCGCUGCUCGGAAGAAGGAGGCAGAAACUGAGGAAGGGACCGAGCUCUAACCUUCAAAACCCGUUCUGUAGUUACCGGCAUCCUCGACUAGGCUUCAACUCCUAAGACCUUCAGAUUUCUUCACAACAGUGUUGGCUGCAGGGCACUGACGUUUUACCACACAAGGCUCCCUGUGCAGGACAUUCACAACCUGACCUUAAUCCUCCUCUCUUCCCUUCAGGCUUCCCUCUGGGCUCCACCGUGCAGUCGCAGACCAAGGGCAUCUGGAUAUGGUGCGUGCCACACCCCACCAAGCCAAAGCACACCCUGGUCCUUCUGGACACGGAGGGCCUAGGGGAUGUGGAAAAGGUAGAAUCAGGCUGUGACUGGCGCUUUUGACCUCUUGAUAUAUACCUGUAUGAUCUCUUUGUGAAUUCUUGAAAAACCCCCAGAGAGGACCUUUCCCUCAGGAGGAGUCCCAAGCGCCCAAUGACCGAGCUGAGUCCACUCGGAUGCAAUCAGCAAGAGGGUUUAUUGGAAAACACAGGUACCUGCGGGCACACAGUCUCUUCGGAGGACUUGCGCGCCUAGCAGCUCCAGCAUGGGGCUUUUAUAGGGUUUGGGGAAGCAGAAGCGGGCAUACAGAAGCAGAUGCAUAGUUACGGGGAUUGGUGGAUUCAAACGAGGCACAUAGACAUGUUCACAUAUGAUUGGCUAUUUCACAUGAUGAGGUAAUAAGGUAUAGCUACACACAUUGGCAGGUUUGGGGCGUCCUGGAUGUCAGGGGCUGGGGGCUUAUCUCUUCCUGCCAGGUGGACUGUGAGUCAGAUCCGGUACUCCUGGUCUGUUCUGCAUUCCUUUCCCUUUAUGGUCUGUUAGUUCUAGCGGCAGGGCAGGGCUGCCUGGACUUGCUUUUCACAAUGUUUAGUCCUGAGUCUGUGAACCCUUCCAACUCCAUAUUUUUAAACCCCAAAUCUGUAUAAUUUUCCCUUCAUUCUGACUGAACUGCAGCAGGUGAGAUAAACAGUGCUCUAUCUAGACUUCACUCUCAGAUAAGGUUAGGUGUACCCUAAUAGGCAAAAUAUGCUUUCAUUUCUUGCCACUUGGGGGAAUAUUUGAUUCAGUUUGACAGAAGUUUAUUCAACAGUUAAAAUUCCUGGAUUCUAGGCAUAGUAGUUAGAUUUUAGUGAAAAAAAAAAAAGGUUCUUCCUUCCAAGAACCUUCCUAACCUUACUGAGAAUCCUGAAAGACCCCCAGAGUGGAGAGACCGCAACCCAAGCCUCAGGAUGAUGCGACCCCUCAAGAACUCAGGAGAGAUUGAUCUUGAUGCAAUCAACAAGAGAUUUAUUGAUAGGGAUGACAGAAACCAGUUCACUGGGGUGGAGACUCGUAUCCCAGGCAGGGGUAGAGGAGUUUGACCUCGAAUGGUUGAAAGAAGGGGUAUUUAAAGGAAAAACCAUACCGAAUCACAAGGAAGAACCUCCUGUUUCUCAUAAUUGUUACCAAAUCACAAGGAAGAACCUCCUGUUUCUCAUGAUUGUUCUUUAAGAUUUUAAUCUAACUUUAUGGUUAGAUUUAAUGUGGUUUAAUGUUUUAUUUUAAAUUAGAUUUGCCCAUUGCUUUGUUGUUAGAAUUGUUGUUUGGUAGGUUUCUCUGUGUUGCCCUGGCUGUCUUAGAACUCAUUCUGUAGAGCAGGCUGGCCUAUAUCGCAGAGAUCCACCUUCCUCUGCCUCCAGAAGGCUGGGAUUAAAGUCAUGUGCCACCAUUGCCUGUCCAUAAAAUUCCUUGUGCCCGUCAUGCCUGUUGUCGGGAAGUAGGCUCCAGUAUUGUUGCUGUGGUUUAUUUUCUCUACCCUGAGCAGUGCUGGGAAUUCAGCCCGCAAUAGGAUGCCUGCUUUACAAAUCCAUAUGUCAGUAUGUAAAACAUAUUCACUCCCACAAUUGCAUACAAAACAUGACAAAGAAACAAAACAACGGGUGGAAACAAAGUAACAACUUCCUGGAAAGAUCCUGACUUUUAUUUCAGCAACUAAAUAUAAAUGUAUUUAAUUAGGUAAAUAUUUAGAAAAUCAUUAAAGAGGAUAACUGAGAGUGGAUAACAACUUCCAAAAGAUAAACAACUGAAGGAAAUAAGCCAAAGAUAACAGCAUAUAGUGGAUGAGUAAUAAAUACUGAAUUUCACAAGAUAGAAAUUUUAGAAAAGUUUGUACAUAACUCUUUAAAAAUUCAGGAGAAAGCAUCUACAACUGACUAAAUGAACUGAAACAUAAACUACCAGGGUUUCAAAGUCAACAUGAUGUAAGUUAUUGCUCUCAGAAAAGAAUCAAAAAGAAUUGUGAUGACCUCACUUGCAUGACCUCCAGGAUGUGACUGAGAGAUCAAAUAAGAGUGUUUUUUAUUAGAAUAUGAAAGACCCCCUCCCAGAAAGGGAAUUGUACAAGCCCAAGGCCCUCAACUAUAGAAGUAAAAAGUAAGUUUUUAGAUAUGUGGGACAAGCUGACCCAUCAUUUAGACGAAACAGACCAGAAAAGAAAACAAAAUGCAGAAACCAGACUAAAUUAUGGACAUUGUUCCAUGGGCCACCUGGCAGGAAAAAGAAACAAUCCCUGACCCCCCGGAAGCCCUGACCACCAUGUACUUUUUGCUAACUCACUGUUAUGAUUAUAGCGAAAAUAGGUAACAUACACGUAUGCCUCAUUUACUCCACCAAUCACAUCCCUGUAACCAUACAUCUGCUUCUGUAAGCCUGCUUCUGCUCCCCAAUGCCCUAUAAAAACCCGUCCCUGGUUCUGCUAGGCGCGCCAGUCUUCCAUAUUGACUGGGACGCCCACAGAUACCUGUGUAUCCUGAUCAAUAAAAAUCCUCUUACAGAUUACAGCCUGUGGACUCGGUCUGGUCAUUGGGCUUGAGGAUCUCCCUCCUGAGGGAAGAUUCUCUCUGAGAGUCUUACAUAUGGGGGCUCGUCCGGGAUGGGAGAUCCUCUGCCUAGAGACCACCGACCACCCUCCGGGAGGUAAGCUGGCCAGUGUUUGUCUUGUCCUGUCUUGUCUUGCUUUGUGACUUGUUCUGUAAAUGCUUAGUUACUUGGCUUGGGUUUGUAUUUGGGCGGGCCAGAGAAGGAGCUGACGAGCUCGGACUUCUCCCCCGCAGCCCUGGAAGACGUUCCAAGGGUGUUUGGAGCCUGGUUUUUCGGGGCUCAGCCUGUAUCGGAAGGAUACGUGGUUUUGGGUUGGAGGAGAGAGGAGAGAGCCGGAUCCACUGAAGGAUCCGGACCCUCAUCGCCUCUGUCUAAAUUUUUGGUUUCAGUUUGACACCGAAGCCGCACGGUGCGUCUGUCUGUCUGACUGUUGGAAUUGUUUGUCUUCUUUGUGUCCUAAUUUUCUUUGAACAUCUGUAGAAAUUGGUUAUAGGAUGCUUUGUCUUGGUCUUGUUUGUCUGGGUUGUUUUCUGUGGUAUUGUCGAGUGUCUUUUUGGCUUUUGUUUCGUUUUUGGACUUUGGAUAGACAACUGUGUUUAAAAUCUUGGACUGACGACUGUGUUUGAAAUCAUGAAACUGUUUGCUUUGUUUGUCAAGGAGUUUUACUUGGUCCUCUUGGUGCUUAACUUGGAAAUAAUUUGCUUGAGAAAAAUUGUUUUAUCUUUCUCUCUUAGCCUCCUCCCCAAGGAGAGAUGCCCCUCCCUUUGCUCCCCUUGUCCAGUCUAGCUGCUGUUAACAGUUGUGUAUGAAGAACUCCAGGUUAGUGAGUGACCCUGUCUGAAGCAGGUAUUAACAAGAGCCUGAAAGCUUUACCUUAGAUCCUGAAGAAAAAUUCUCCCUGUUGCUUAAACAUUCACAGCUUCUAAGGAAGGGACAACACAGAGUAGAAAAAUAUAGGGGCCGAGGGUGACAAGCAUGCAGGCCUGCUAGCAAGCUGCAGGCUGCGCGUGGGCAGUGGCGCAGCUCUGGCCAAGUCAGCGUAAGAGGAGUUUCAAGGUGAUGAGGCCGGCCGGCUUUGACAAGAAGAUAGCGUAGAGUUAGUGGUUGUUUUAUGAGACUUUUGGCCCUGAAAAAAAUAAUAAUUCCAGUUGCUGCCUUCAGUGGCCAGACCUUCAACACUUGCUCACAGAAGGAGAGCAUUCAUUAAGAGAAGUUCUUUAAGGGAGCCUGCCUUAUCUGCUGGCCCUAUUCCAAGAGAGGAGUUGAUCUCCAACAUUAAGUAACCUUCCCUGUUAGUCAUCAUUGACAUGGAGAGUGCCUUUGAUCCUAUCCCCACAGCAGCCAGUUCCUGCCCCUGUGGUCAAAAUGCCCCAGGUUGGGGGACAAAAAAGCCCCUAAAAUAGUUUCAAAAAGAAUCUACAACAAACUGAGAAGAACUUUGUUUUGCCAGUCAAAAUUUAGAAUUCAGGCUUUGGCUGUGGCCAAGGUCAGGAUUAAUGUUUUCUUUUCCAUGGGCCUUUAACCCAGUGAGACAGUUUGGUAGAGGGCUGCUACUGAGGUCCUGAAAGUCCCAGGUGAACCGGUUACAAUUCUUUUGUCAGCCACUUGGCAUCUAGCACCCAGGUCCUAACCAUCUCUCCAUCCUUUUGUUAUUAGUUCUUAAGUCCAGAGAGAUGGUCGGUAACAGAUCAGCUCCCUCUGCUUGCCGUUCUGUUUCACAGACACAAAGCUUGUGCUUAUUUUUACAACAGCCUUUUUGUCCUAAAAAGUCCUCCUGGUUUAGCUGUGUGACUAAAUGCUAUUUGUCCUCUUCAGUGGACCUCUAUUCUCAAGAUUCUCUUGUUUUCUCACCAUCCCAUUUGAGAUGCUUGUUAGUAACUGUUACAGGUCUUCUUUACCACCGAGGAAAGACAGAAUCCUACUAGAGACCAGAAAGAAUGUUCCAGACAUGGAUGGAAGGCCCUCACUCCUGACUGUUGACUUGAAUACCCCUGAAGGUAGGGAGUGCUCCGGGUCUGCCACCAGGCUCCAAGGGUGGGUCUCCGAGGGGCUGGAAAAUGCCCCACCAAUCUGGCUAAGAUAAGGAAAAGAUAUAAAGAGAGAAAGUUACAGAAAUUUGAAGGGUUAAGCUAAGUUGCUGAGAGUUAGUAUAAGUUACAGAGAAAGUAAAGUUAAAGUGUAGUUACAUAAGUGGACAGCAUCUAAUAGCUGUAGAGGAAGAUACAGAAGAUAUGAGAGAGAGACUGAAGAAGAGAAGAGAAAAAAAGAAGAAAGAAGGUAAAAAGAACAGGAAGCUAAGGAAGAAAAGAGACAAAAGGAAAAAGAAGCUAGAGAGCUAAAGAGGGAUAAAAGACAGGAGAGGAAUAUAUACUGGCCACAGUAGUUAGGGAACCUAGGAAGACAGUACCUGGCAACAGAAGAGAAUUCCUAGCUAAAGAUCAGUGUGCCUAUCGCAAGGAAAAAGGACACUGGGUCAGGGACUGCCCCAGAAAGAACAAGAGGGGCCUCUCCAGCAGCCCGGAAGGCAAGCCUCUUGGUCCUAGAGUGCUGGCUAUGCGCUAAGAUAGAAGGGAAGCCUGCCCAGUUGUUUUGUGAAUACGGGGGCCCAACACUCUGUGCUCCUACGCCCAAAUGGGCUAGUGUCCAGCAAAAGACCUUGAGUACAGGGGACUACCGGCAACAAAUGAUACUCAUGGACUACCAGAAGAACGGUGGAGCUUGGCGUGGGCCGGGUAUCCCACUUGUUCCUUGUGAUCCCAGACUGCCCCUACGAGUCUAAACCCUGCAACCCUGCUCCCGGACCCCGACCUAGACACCCCCCUUUAUGACUGUCAGCAGGUGCUCACUAAAGCACAGGGGUGGCAUAAAGAUCUGACUGGCCAGCCACCAAAGAGGGUAGAUGCCAUCUGGUUCAUAGGUGGGAGCAGCUUCUUACAGAAGAAAAAAGAUGGGCUGGGACAACAGUGGUAGAUGGAAACAGAGUCAUUUGGGCUCAGGCCCUACCAGAAGACACCACUACUCAGGGGGUAGAGCUCGCUCCCCUCACCAAAGCCCUUGAGCCGAGAAGGAGACUUAACAUCUAUGUGGACAGCACGUAUGCCUUUGCUACAGCCCAUCAGCAGAGGGGCCUGCUGACAUCUGAGGGCAAGAAAAAAAAAAGAGAUUCUGGCUCUGUUAAGGGCCCUACAUGACCCAGCCAGGCCGAGGAAGAGACUCUGGUACACCUCAACGAGAAAGAAGAUCCUGCUACAAUUUUUACAGGCAGAGGCCAUGGUAAAACAAAUACAUCAAUGGACUCACUUAGGGGUAAGCAAACUCAUCCAGACGUUUUCAAAAACUAAAUAUUAUGUUACAGGUCUCAAGUAUCUCUUAGAACAGAUAGUGCACUGAUGUAUACCAUGCCAAAAGGUAACUGUUUUCAGGAAAGUUGACUCUGGUAGGAGGCUCCGUGGGGAAUGGCCUGGAUCCUACUGAGAAGUGGACUUCACAGAGAUAAAACCAGGAAAAUAUGGUUAUAAAUGUCUCCUAGUGUUUAUAGAUAUCUUUUCAGGAAUAGAUAGAAGCUUUCCCCACCAAACAUGAGACGGCCUCUACAAUCAUCAAGAAGAUACUGGAAGAAAUCUUCCCCCGAUUUAGAAUGCCCAAGGUAAUCUGGUCAGACAACAGUCCUACUUUCGUUGCCAAGGUAAGCCAGGGUGUGGCCAGAUAUUUAGAGGUUGAUUAAAAAUUACGUUAUAUUUACAGACCUCAAAGUUCAAGACAGAUAGAAUAAAUAAAUAAAAUUUUAAAAGAGACCCUGACCAAAUUGACCAUGGAGACUGACACAGACUGGGUGACACUCCUUCCCUCUUGCUCUCUUCAGAGCAAGAAAUACCCCUUCCAGAUUCAGCCUUACCCCCUUUGAGAUCUUAUAUGGGGCCUCAGCUCCCCUGACUGUAUUAGAUGAUGUUACUGAACCAACAUGUCAUAGUAAUAAUGAUUUAUACAGAAAGAAAUCUGCUCACAGCUGACAGCAGCCUAUGCCCCGGAGACCCCUGAGACAUGUCAUCAGUUCCAGGUUAGAGACUACAGCUACACUGAGCCCAGACACUCGAGCCUCGCUGGAAAGGACUAUACCUGGUGAUGCUGACCACCCUGACAGCCGUCAAUUCUCAGCCCUCACCAGCAGCGUACUAGCUGUUGGGGCUGAGAGCUGGGACCUAGAGGGACACUCAGAUCUUCAAAAAGCUCCCUAGACUUAAGUGACUGAGAGGUUGCUAUAAUGCUCACUUGAAGAGUGUGUUUUAAAAACAAAAAUUUCAUGUUUGCCUGUUUGCCCUGGGUUCCCUCGGAAUAGGUGUAAGGAUAGGCUUGAUUUUUAUUGCAAAUGAUAUAACAUUACAUAUGUUAGUACUCCUAACACUUCUUGAGACUGUGCCUCAGGGAUCACAAUCUAUAUAAGUUUAAAAGUUCUAAAAGACCUUGGUGUAUAGGUUCAGAUAGUGUCCAGAUUAAAAUCCUGAUGCUAAAGACUUAAUAAGACACAAAAGAGAGUUAAAAAUUAUUUAAGGCUAUCUAGGUGCUACAAGGACAGCACAAGGACAUCUACAGUUGCCCUACAAUACAAGGCUUAUAGAGAAUUAGGAACUGCCAUUGACUCAGAUAUAAAAAGAAUAAAAAAGACUUUUUAGCUGACCUCCAAGAAUACUUAACCUCCCUCUCAGAGGUAGUCCUUCAAAAUAGGAAAAGAUUAGACCUGAUAUCCUUUAAAAAAGGAGUCUGUGUGCUACACUAAAAGAAGAAUGCUGUUUCUAUGCAGAUCAGACAGGAAUAAUAAGAGAUACAGACUUUCAGUCAUUCAAACUUUUGUGCUGAGACAACAGUAUCAGAUGGUGAAACAACAAAAAAACAGAGGUACCUUAACCAAGUUGAGUGGAAGAUUCCACUCAAAGACAAAAAAAGAAAAUGGGGGAAUGAAAGACCCCCUCCCAGAAAGGGAAUUGUACAAGCCCAAGGCCCUCAACUAUAGAAGUAAAAAGUAAGUUUUUAGAUAUGUGGGACAAGCUGACCCAUCAUUUAAACGAAACAGACCAGAAAAGAAAACAAAAUGCAGAAACCAGACUAAAUUAUGGACAUUGCUCCAUGGGCCACCUGGCAGGAAAAAGAAACAGUCCCUGACCCCCCGGAAGCCCUGACCACCAUGUACUUUUUGCUAACUCACUGUUAUGAUUAUAGCGAAAAUAGGUAACAUACACGUAUGCCUCAUUUACUCCACCAAUCACAUCCCUGUAACCAUACAUCCCUGGUUCUGCUAGGCGCGCCAGUCUUCCAAAUUGACUGGGAUGCCCACAGAUACCUGUGUAUCCUGAUCAAUAAAAAUCCUCUUACAGAUUACAGCCUGUGGACUCGGUCUGGUCAUUGGGCUUGAAGAUCUCCCUCCUGAGGGAAGAUUCUCUCUGAGAGUCUUACAAAUAGAAUGCUGGAAUAUGGACUAAAGACAUAGGAAACCUAUUCAGUGAGACAUUAUUAUUAGAAAGUCUCCUCUAUCUAUUGAAAUACUAGGACAUCCAAGUACAGAAAUAAUUAGACCACCUGAUAGAUGACCUAAAACAGUCUUGUCUUAUGCUGAGCUUGCAGAACAGGAGAACAAUACUGCAGGGUACUACAGAGGGGUGCCAAGGGACUUACAAAGUACCCAACUGACAAACCAUUCAGAACAACAGGGCAUUUCUUGAUAGAAAUCUUCAAGGCCAGAGCAUGGAACGAUGCACUCUGAGCACUCAGAAAAUAACUGAGAGCCAGCAUGGCAACAGAAAAAAGUGUCCUUUUAAAAACCUUCAGGAUGGGUGUGACUAAUGCAAUGUGUGACCACUGCGCCAUCACUGAAGAAGUUACUUACAGGAAAAUUCUAAACACAAGGAAGAAGACACAAUCAGGAGUGCAGGAGAAAUAAAUCUUGCAGUUCUAAGGAACCAACAGCAGUAACUCGGUAAGUGCUGGUGAGCUUUUCAUCAACGUGAUGCACGCACACUGGAGUCACCUGUGAAGAAGAGACCUCAGGUGAGCAACCGUACCCAUCAGGUUGGCAAGGCUGUUGGGGCGUUUUUGAUGGAUGAUUGAUGUGGGAGGGCCCAGCCCACUCUGGGUUCCUGGAGUGUUUAAGAAAGCAGGCUGAGCAAGCCAUGAGGAACAACUAGUAACGCGUAUUCCUCCAUGGUCUCUGAUUCAGUCCCUGCCCGAGUUCCUGCCUUGGUGUCUCGCAGGGAUGGAUUGUGAUGUGGAAGGGUUAAGCCAAAUAAACUUUCUCCUCCCCAAGUUGCUUUUCAUCAUGGUGUUUUACCACAGCAAUAGAGAGCAAACUAACAUCGAGACAGCAAACUUCUAGGAAGAAAAAAAGAAGCCGAGGGAGAAAAAUCUAAAGAUAAAAGAAGCCCCAUUAAUUUAUUAAUUAAUUUAUAGGAUUUCAUUCAUCCCACAGGUUUUAACCUUGACUCAAACAUAAAUAGAAUUGAAAAGCAAAAAUCAGUAAGCAAUCACUGAUUGCAGCAGGAACUCACCGAGCUGGCAGAGGCAUACCAAGACUGAAAGUGAAAGGAGCAAGAAUGAACAAAUGGGACCUCAUAAAACUGCAAAGCUUCUGUAAGGCAAAGGACACUGUCAUUAGGACAAAACCACAACCAACAGAUUGGGAAAAGAUCUUUACCAAUCCCACAUGUGAUAGAGGGCUAAUAUCCAAAAUAUGCAAACAACUCAAGAAGGUAGACUCCAGAGAGUCAAAUAACCCCAUUUAAAAAUAGGGUAAAGAGCUAAAAAAAGAAUUCUCAGCUGAGGAAUAUGGAAUGACUGAGAAGUGGCUUAAAGAAAUGUUCAACAUUCUAAGUCAUCAGGGAAAUGCAAAUCAAAUCAAUCCUGAGAUUCCACUUCACAUCAGUCAGAAUGGCUAAGAUAAAAAACUCUGGUGACAACAGAUGCUGGCAAGGAUGUGGAGAAAGAGGAACACUUCUCCAUUGUUGGUGGGAUUGCAAGCUGGUACAACCACUCUGAAAAUCACUCUGGAGGUUCCUCAGAAAAUUGGACAUAGUACUACCUGAAGACCCAGCUAUACCAUUCCUGGGCAUAUACCCACAAGAUGCUCCAACAUAUAACAAGGACAUGCUCCACCAUGUUCAUAGCAGUCCUAUUUAUAAUAGCCAGAAGUUGCAAAGAACCCAGAUGCCUUUCAAUAGAGGAAUGAAUACAGAAAAUGUGGUACAUCUACACAAUGGAAUAUUACUCAGCUAUCAAAAACAACGAGUUUAUGAAAUUCCUCCAGGUAAUCAGGGCUACUGUGAGAAUCCUAUCAGCAGCACUAUACUCCACGGGGAAUGACUGAAAUUACUUCCUCUAACAUCAACAUGGAGCCAAGGGUGACCUUUCCAUCAACUAUUAUUUAAAAUAAGUUUGAGACAUCAGAGCAGUAAGUCAGGAGAAAAAUACAAAAGAGAUACAAACCAGAAAGGAAGAAGUCAAAUUACCCUAUAAGUAGAUGAGAUGCUUCGAUAUUUAAAAUCCCUCGGGACUGGCAGAGCGCUUGCCUGGCGUAUGCAAGGCUCUGAAUUUGAUCCUCUAAACCGUACAGGAUGAAAAAGUGUCUGAACAGCAUCCAGGGUUCAACCUGAUGGCUCUGCACAAGGCUGAUGAUCCGAGUUGUAGCCCCGGAACUCCAUAGAACUCCAUAGAAAGGAGAUUAAGGAGCCAUGCCUUGGUAAUCCCACCUCAGAAUUCACUCGGAAGCUGAAGGGCCAUCUGACCUGGAACACUGUGCUGAAUGAAACAUGGGAGGGACUUUGCCUCAAAAGUUGCAAGAACUGACUUUACAAGUAC
rnacentral:lncRNA from 1 species